UACAGAGGGUGCGAGCGUUGUCCGGAAUCACUGGGCGUAAAGGGCGCGUAGGCGGCUCGGUAAGCGUGCGGUGAAAGCCCGGGGCUCAACCCCGGGUCGGCCGUGCGAACUGGGGGGCUGGAGCACUGUAGAGGCAGGCGGAAUUCCGGGUGUAGCGGUGGAAUGCGUAGAGAUCCGGAAGAACACCGGUGGCGAAGGCGGCCUGCUGGGCAGUUGCUGACACUGAGGCGCGACAGCGUGGGGAGCAAACAGG
rnacentral:rRNA from 1 species